UCAGCUGUGGUACUUUUGGCAUCUGUGCAUGUUUUCCUGCAAAGCCCCUAGAUCUAAACUCCAAACUCACUGGAGGAUUACAUGAUGUAUCUGGCUUGGGAAUGCCUCAGGAUGCUACACGAGAAGCCAAAAACAUUGGUCACAAUAUCUUCUUAGACUUCUGCAACCAUGACCUGACUUUGGGGUCAGUUAAUGGUAACACCUCGAGGGAGCAGAGCAACGCAGGACAAGAAGAAAACAAAGAUGAUGCGAAGGAAAGCGAGCUAAAAUGGGCACGCUCAUCAUAGAUUCCUCUUGAAGUGUCUUUCACAGAGGGUGGGUGGAGCAAGCCUGCAGUGAUUUCACCUUCAUACAUGCUAACAUCAAUGGGGGACUGCUGUCUGACCCUACACAAGAGCCUCUCUAGGGAGCAUAAGGUACUCAUCGCAUUGAAGGCAACACUUCCUGCCUGGAGGAGCAAAAGCCUCCCACUUCAGUUACAUACAGUCUACUUCAACCAAAAGGCUGUAGGGGGAAAGGAAAAUACAAGGGGAGAUUAAAUAUAUAUGCCUGAGCGAGAAAAGUAUGAAAGGUUGACUGAGGUGGAAGAUGAGCUGGAGAGAGAGAAGAUUGACCUCAUGCUGACAGUGCACAUCCCUGCAAGCUUUGGUCAGGUCUCAAAGAAAGCACUGCUGUCUUUACACUGAUUUCCACAGCUGUUUGGUGGUCGACUGGAGCGACCUGGGGAUAUCGCAUGUCACCCGUCUAUAGUGCAACAUGAGCUCAGACAGCGGAAAGUCAGGAUGUCUCAUUGAGGGGAACAAUUGAUCCAACAGUAAGUGUUGGAGGAAAACCAGGCAGGUCUAACCACAUCAGACCAACUUUAACAUGCCAUAUGUCAAGAGUCUUUCUGAAUAAUUCAUUAUUCUUCACAUACUAAAAUUAAGGACAUUUUAAUAUCUUGAUUUAAAGAAAAAAACAUACAUUUUGAACAUUUUUCUAGUAGAUCAAACACUAUAUAUAUGAAAGACAAGAAACAUCUGCAGCUCCAUAGGAAGGG